rfam:Camelus ferus unplaced genomic scaffold scaffold1111, whole genome shotgun sequence.
GAGGGCAUAGCUCAGUGGUAGAGCACAUACCUAGCAUGCAUGGAGGUCCUGGGUUCAAUCCCCAGCACCUCCA